AUUGAACGCUGGCGGCAGGCCUAACACAUGCAAGUCGAACGAGUGGCGGACGGGUGUGUAAUGUCUGGGAAACUGCCUUAUGGAGGGGGCUAACUACUGGAAACGGUAGCUAAUACCGCAUACCAUCAGAUGUGCCCAGAUGGGAGUAGCUUGUUGGUGGGGUAUCGGCUCACCAAGGAGACGAUCCCUAGCUGGUCUUAGAGGAUGACCAGCCACACUGGAACGGAGACACGGUCCAGACUCCUACGGGAGGCAGCAGUGGGGAAUAUUGCACAAUGGGCGCAAGCCUGAUGCAGCCAUGCCGCGUGUAUGAAGAAGGCCUUCGGGUUGUAAAGUACUUUCAGCGGGGAGGCGUUACCCGCAGAAGAAGCACCGGCUAACUCCGUGCCAGCAGCCGCGGUAAUUC
rnacentral:rRNA from 1 species